rnacentral:lncRNA from 1 species
CCAAUUUUGUAGUAUUAACUAUAUCUUUUAUACUAUAUUAAAUAGCUAUCCCAGAAAUCAAAAAUUCUUUCUUCUUCAAGAAAUAACACAACCUGAAUGGUGCUCUAAUCACGUCACUUAUCGCAAAAAUUAAAAACAAAAUCUUUUUACAAGAAAUAACACAGCCUGAAUGGUGCUCUAAUCACGUCACUGAUCCCACUUUCAUCAAGGAUGCAAGUUUGCAGCACGUGGUGCUCUAAUCACACCUAGUGAUGCCAUUGGUUUCUUGAUUCCUCAGCGGUAGAAUGCACUGCAGUGCACACGUACCACAGUGCAGCAUCUACAAAAAAACACAAGGUCAGAACAAAGCUUAGUGCAUUUCAAGAGAAUGCUAUUCCAUCCAUUACAUUAAUAUAAAAUGUUUGACUUUUUACUUGCAAUGUUUGACUAUUUAUUUUAUUUAAAAAAUUAUGAAAAUAUCAUUUAUUUUGCUUGUGACUUACUUUAUUAUUAAAAGAACUUUAAGUAUAACUUGUCAUUUUUUAUAUUUGUACUAAAUUUUUGAAUAAGAUGAAUAUUCAAACGUUACAAAAAAAAGAGUCAAACAUCUUAUAUUAUAAAACGGAGGUAGUAAUAUUUUACUUUCUAAAAAUUUGUAAUGGGUUCAUCUAAAAAAUUUUGGGCAUAAAAAUUACCCAGUCAAUAAAACUCUAAAAAUAAAUAACUUAUAUUAGAAACACAUAUUUCUUGCCUCAGAUUUAGAACAUAAGUGAGCUAAUUUUAGGCGUGCGUAAAUAUUAGGAAUGUUCUACCUCUGUUAUAUAUUGCAAGACAUUCUAGCCUUGACUAAAUUCAUUAAUUGAUAAAUGUAUAUAAUUUAUAUAUAUGUCUAUAUUUAUUAGCAUCCAUAUGAGAAAGUCUUACAUCAUAAAAUAAAGGGAAUAUUUGGUAACCUUUUGAAGAUAUAUUUUCUAACUCAAUUCCCUAAAUCUAGUUUUAGACAUCAAUUUGAGAUAUCUCUGGGAAAUGAUCUAAAAGAAAAUAGCCUGUGGUUAACCUAACCCAAAUGGAUUAGAGCUUGAUCAAAUCAUCCAUGCUGUUGGAUUAGGGCUUGAUCAAAUCAUCCCUUGCUUGUUCCACGGUCAAAUAUCAAUGAGCUACCUGCGUUGGAGUAGGUCCACGUUCUUUGACCAAGCCAGCCGCCAACCAGCGCUGCCGAUGAGAAAAAGAAAAUCCUCUUUUUUUUUUUAUCUGAUCGCGACGGAGCGGAACAGUUGAGCUGAUCGAUCGCCGGCGAUCAAAGUAUAUUAUCUCCGGAGCCAGUGACCGGUGGCGGCCAUUUUUCCUCUCUUUUUUUUUUGGUACAAUUUUGAUUUUUUUUCUUCUUAAUUUACUCUCGGCGUCAUCACACGUCGCCGUCCCUUUCGGUUUCGUCUACUCGUAUCUCCCCAUAAAAAUUCGAUCUUUCGGUUCUCGGCGAACCACCCCGCCCCGGACGGAGACGACGCCGACGCCUUCGUAUAAAGCGGAUCGCUGCUCCGUGUCGUCUCCUGCCGUGUGAUCGAUCGAUGGCGGGGCUGCAGCGGUCGAGAGAGACGUUCCGGCGGUCGGGGUCGUCGGGGCUGGUGUGGGACGACAGGCACCUGUCCGGNNN